rnacentral:rRNA from 1 species
UACGUAGGGGGCAAGCGUUGUCCGGAAUCAUUGGGCGUAAAGCGCGUGUAGGCGGCUGGGUAAGUCCGCUCUGAAAGCCCGGGGCUCAACCCCCGGGAGGCGGGUGGAUACUGCUCAGCUCGAGUCCGGAAGAGGAGUGUGGAAUUCCUGGUGUAGCGGUGAAAUGCGCAGAUAUCAGGAGGAACACCAAUGGCGAAGGCAGCACUCUGGGACGGUACUGACGGCUGAGACGCGAAAGCGUGGGGAGCAAACAGG